rnacentral:rRNA from 1 species
UAUACCCUUCGGGUGACUACUUUAGUGGCGAACGGGUGCGUAACACGUGAGAAUCUGCCUUUAGGAAGAGGAUAACUUUUAGAGAUAAAAGCUAAUACUUUAUAUGCCAUUGGUGAAAGAAGAAAUUCGCCUAAAGAGGAGCUCGCGUCUGAUUAGCUAGUUGGUGGGGUAAGAGCCUACCAAGGCGACGAUCAGUAGCUGGUUUGAGAGGAUGAUCAGCCACAUUGGAACUGAGACACGGUCCAGACUCCUACGGGAGGCAGCAGUAAGGAAUAUUCUGCAAUGGGCGCAAGCCUGACAGAGCAAUACCGCGUGAGGGACGACUGCCUACGGGUUGUAAACCUCUUUUCUCAAGGAGGAAGAACUGACGUUACUUGAGGAAUAAGCAACGGCUAACCCUGUGCCAGCAGCCGCGGUAAUACAGGGGUUGCAAGUUUUAUUCGGAAUCAUUGGGCGUAAAGCGUCUGCAGGUUGACAUAAAAGUCUUUUGUUAAAUAUCAGAGCUCAACUCGGAAUCUGCAAAAGAUACUAUAUGUCUUGAGUAUGGUAGAGGUAGGGGGAAUUUCCAGUGGAGCGGUGAAAUGCGUAGAUAUUGGAAAGAACACCGAUAGCGAAGGCACCCUACUGGGCCAUUACUGACACUCAGAGACGAAAGCUAGGGGAGCAAACGGGAUUAGAUACCCCGGUAGUCCUAGCCGUAAACGAUGGAUACUAGAUGUUGUGUACUUUAUUGUAUACAGUGUCGUAGCUAACGCG